CAGCAGCCGCGGUAAAACGAAGGGGGCUAGCGUUGUUCGGAUUUACUGGGCGUAAAGGGCGCGUAGGCGGACUGAUAAGUCAGGGGUGAAAUCCCAAGGCUCAACCUUGGAACUGCCCUUGAUACUGUUUGUCUUGAGUUCGAGAGAGGUAAGUGGAACUGCGAGUGUAGAGGUGAAAUUCGUAGAUAUUCGCAAGAACACCAGUGGCGAAGGCGGCUUACUGGCUCGAAACUGACGCUGAGGCGCGAAAGCGUGGGGAGCAAACAGGAUUAGAUACCCCAGUAGUCCCUGUCUCUUAUAA
rnacentral:rRNA from 1 species